rnacentral:rRNA from 1 species
CCUACGGGAGGCAGCAGUGAGGAAUAUUGGUCAAUGGGCUUACGCCUGAACCAGCCAAGUCGCGUGAGGGAAGACUGCCCUAUGGGUUGUAAACCUCUUUUGUCAGGGAGCAAUUGGCGCUACGUGUAGCGUUAUCGAGAGUACCUGAAGAAAAAGCAUCGGCUAACUCCGUGCCAGCAGCAGCGGUAAUACGGAGGAUGCGAGCGUUAUCCGGAUUUAUUGGGUUAAAAGGGUGCGUAGGCGGAAUGCCAAGUCAGCGGUAAAAUCGCGGGGCUCAACCUCGCUCCGCCGUUGAAACUGGCGGUCUUGAGUGGGCGAGAAGUAUGCGGAAUGCGUGGUGUAGCGGUGAAAUGCAUAGAUAUCACGCAGAACUCCGAUUGCGAAGGCAGCAUACCGGCGCCCAACUGACGCUGAAGCACGAAAGCGUGGGUAUCGAACAGGAUUAGAUACCCUUGUAGUC